ensembl:snRNA U4 U4 spliceosomal RNA
AGCUUUGCGCAGUGGCAGUAUCGUAGCCAAUGAGGUUUAUCUGAGGCGCGAUUAUUGCUAAUUGAAAAUGAUUGUAUACACGAAUUGAGGCACAUUCACAUGAAGGGACAUUACAUAGCAAGCUACAGAAUGAGCUAUUGCAGCAUUUAACAAAAU